GGGACUGUGGAGCCUCUGUUCACAAAGCCAGUAGCGUCAGGUGCCGUGUGAAGUACUGACAGGGGGCCCUGGCCCCCCAGCCCUUGGGCUAUAAACUCAGGAAGGAAACUCUAGAACCACGGAAGCUUCAGAUCCUACAGAUCCUGAGGACCUGUAACCCAGUUGAUAGAGGCAAGGAGCAGAGGCCACGGCAAGUGGGGCAUCAGCUGAAGUUACUCCAGAGACUUCCUGGGAGACCACAGGGGCAGCAGUGGUGCUGGAAGGAAGCGACGGAAUCCUGUGACUAUGUGAGGGUCUAGCAGUGUAUGCUGAGGGGAAGUGGAGGUGAUGAUGCCAGUAGCAUCCUCAUCCUCACAGGCUGAUGCUCAUCUAGCCAUCCAGGAGGAAAUCCCUCCUGGAACUGGAGCAGCCAAGUAGGCCACCGGUCAGGAAAGAUGAGCUGAAAUCUACCCAGCCUUCGGUGUCUCUCAGCAAGAAAAGUUUGGUGCAGCACCCCCACAGCAGCAUCCAGGCUCCGGGCAAGAGAUCUGCCCAGAGCUCCAUCCAGCAUUAUCUGCACCACCUCAAAGAAACCUAGACUCAGCCCCAUGCCAACCCCUCAGAAGAGCUCACCGACAUCAGAUCUGAGGGUCUUCCAGUAUCUCCAUCAUCCAUGCAGUACAACUGGACAUGGACCCACAGUGACACCCCAUGUGACCAGUAAGACACCUGCACAGCUGCCAGGCCCUCUCCCCAGCCUCGACUCAGCAGAUCUGGCUCUGACACUGUCCAAGCCUCGCUGUAGCCCAUCCUCCACCCACUAGCCUUGUUCCAGGCCAGCCUCUCAGGAUGCCCUUCAGGGGAAUAAGCAAAGGCUAGUGGAGCUGCAGCGACAUGGUGCCUCCCCCACCCCCACCUGCAGAGAAGCUGGCCCCUCCUGCUCUGAGCUGCCCUGUCUGCAGGGAGCCUGAGGGUCCCUGCACCCCAGGCUCCUGAAGUGUCCUCUACGAGGACCUUCAGGUGUCCUCUUCCUCUAAAGAGAGUGACUGGGAGGGAGACACCCAUGACCACUAAAACUUGUCCUCCAGCCCCAGGUGCCCUGAAAGUGAUGAUUCCCUGAGAAGGGGAAGUCACACAGAGUGGCCUGUCCCUAUGAGUUAGUGGUUCUUCACCUUUGGUGGAUGCAGACCAGCCCUGGGAACAGGCACCUGCAAACAGUGCACUUUCUCAGGAUGGAAUUAGAGGCACAUUCCAAGUGGAGUAUACUUCCCAAACUGGAAUGUAAAGAUGUUUGUGAAUCUAAACCCUAUUUAAGGCAUUGAGAUGAAUAUAGGAGUCAAUUGUAACUGUUGUAUAAGUGGAGGCUAUAGUGUUUGUCUGCAUUUGGGGGAAAAUGUCUGAACUUUCGACACCAGGCUAAAGGGCCCAACUUUGUUUUGCAAAACCUGCUUUCUAUAAAACUCGUCUAUAGAAAAAAACCUAUUCUAUAAAACAAAACUCUUGUCUCUUAAAGUUAAAGAAACUUUAGCUCAAUCCAUUAACCAGGGUUUCCCAAAAUCCAGAUUAAUUUCAUAGGUCCUUAUUUAUAAUGAAAUGCUUAUCCAGUGACUUGACUCAGCUUAUUAUAAACUUAAUGGAAUUAAAAAACUUUCCUGGAGUUCCCACUGUGGUGCAUCAGGAUCAGCGACGAUGUCUCCGUAGCACAAGGACACAGGUUUGAUCCCACAGUGGGUUCAGGAUCUGGCAUCGCUGCAGGUAUGGCGUAGGUCACAGCUAUGAUUCGGAUCUGAUCCUUGGUCUGGGAACUCCCUAUGCCACAAGGCAUCCAAAAAGGAAAAACAAAACAAAACCCUUUCCUAUGCCAGUUUCCUCAGUUUCAUUUACAGUCCUCCUGAUCAGAGUCACUGAGGGUCUGAGGGCUUUCACUGAAAAGGGAAGCUGUCCCAGGAGGUGGAGAGGGGAUCGUCUGAACCUGGGGCCCAACUGCCCAUUGUCCAUUCUGGUAAAGACCACUCUACAGCCUGGCCUGGAACACAGCAGGAUGGAGGGGGUGGGGCACCUGCAGGCCUGGACUGUCAUUAGGUGAGUUCUCUUGAGGGGAGGCUGGAGGGCCAUUCUGGCCAUCGGAGUAGGUGUCCUUUAGGUCACAUGGGACUGUCUCUCUGGGCCCAGUCCAUCUUUCCUGAGCAGAGCCUGGAGAAUCUGGAUGGCCAUCCAGCUCGGGGCUCUCAGUGCUUCUCUGAGGUCUAGAAGGGACUGAGAAUCUGUUUGUUUGAGGGACUUGCAUGGGGACCCAGGCAGACCCCUCAUCUGGGGCCAGGAUGCAGAUUGUGGAAUUUGAGGAGAAUGACAUUGGCUUUGAGUUCACAUUAGGACACUGGGCUUGAACUUUCCAUGUGCCAGCAGGGCUGAGGCCAAGCGUGCUGGAGGCAGCCUGAGGAAUGUCAAGGGAGCCCAGGUCAGGUCUGCUGUCUGGAAGCUAAACAAUGAUGGAGGGACCUGGCGGGGGUGCAGGACAGCAGGCUGGGGGUUCAGUGAUGUUCACCCAUGAGUGCUCCUGAGCAAAUUCUAGGAAAGAUGUCUUCCUGGUGUCGGUAGGGGCACUGGCCUUCAGAUGCUGUAAGAAAAGACACCGCACAGGGAAUAUAUAUAAAGUUUUAUCUCAAGAGGCAGAAAAUUGGACCAUAUCCACCACUCUCCUCAUCUCAGAGCCAUCCAGCACCUCAGGGUUUCCCAGGUUUCUCAUUCACUGUGCUGUUUUCCUUCCUGUCUGGGCCAAGCUCCCAGGUGUGCCCCACCCUCUCCCCAUGGGGAUUCUCUAAGAGUGGACUGAGCCCCUUCCAGUUAUAGACCCCAGGAGGGUAGGGAUGGCUUCUUUGUUUCCCUCCAGGCUACCCCUGGCCUUGCCACUGAUGGGGUCAGGGAUGGAGAGACAAAGCACAUUUACAUCUCAAUAAACUCAGAUGAGCCAAGCCUCGCACCUUGCUCACCACCGUCCACGUUCCUUCUGUCUUGUUCAAGGAAGCUGUGCUCAGCUGGCCCCAGGGUAUCCUUGGCUCUCCUUCUCUUCCUUUGGCCCCAGGUGGGGGAAGGCAAGCCCCAUCCUGGCCCUUCCCAGGGCAGCUCCUGCUCCUGCUGCCUCCUAAAGGCACAUUCAUCCUUUCCACACCUGUGCUCAGAGAGACGGCAGAAAACACAGUCAGCUUUCAGAGGUGACCUUCAGGAUAGAUUCAGCCCUCUGCUCACCCUAGGAUCCCCCCACCCACCCACCAAGAGGACCCUGUCACACUGGUCCUCACCAUCUCUACAUCCCAUCCUCACCUGUAGGGGUAUGUGGUGCUGAUGCUGCUCCUGUUGACCUGCCCUCGGCCUUGCCUUCUUGAAGUUCCAGGGCAGUCCUCCUCAGUGUCCAUGUCAGAGAUCCUGAACCAUGAAAAGCAAAAUUAUGUCACAUUAGUACAUAUGUCCCUUCUGCACCUUCCCCUCAAAGUGACCACUCAGUGACCACUCAUCAAACUAAGGACAACGUUCUUCUUCACACAAAAUGGCAUCACAUGAAGAGACAUUGACCAUCCUUUUCCAGGUGGCCUUUCCCAGAACAGAAUCCACACAAACAAGACAAAAUGACUAUGAAUGCCGAAUGUCAAUUUUCACUCACUGAAAGAGACUGAAGUGUGAGACUCUGUGAAGGUUUUCUCAAUUGACAAUAUUAGAGAAAGACAGACAACACUUUGCAUGACACACAAAAUAAAAGAAUGGUGCGAGAAUGCUCCAGCUCGCCUCUGGCUAGGACAUUUGAAACUCUGACAUAAGGCAUAUUUUCCUCCUCAAAAUUCCAAAAUUCCAAUCUGACGUGAUAGGAGGAAACUUCAACUACAACUUAACACAGGAAAAUGUUUUCUGUCUGGGAGCCUGGGAGCUUCACGUCUUUAGGUGUGGACUGCUCUUUAUUCACUGCUUUUCUUUGGCACCCACUUUUAAAAUAGUGUCUCGAAAGUGUGAACUUUCUGUAUCUGAACAAAGAAUGAAAAAUAAAUUGCUUAGCCUCUAAAUGCACUCGGCCAACCACCAGAUUCCAUAACUGCUUGGGCACUGCCCCUCACAUGCAGGGGAGUUUGAACCAUCCUGUCAUAAUCGUCAUUUGAAGGAUGUAUUUUAUUAUCCUUUCUCCUAGGAAAUGUGAUUACAACUUAAAGAAUCCAUACCUGAAAUGAAAACCCGUCUUGGUGCCUAUUUCUCCAGUUGGACUAAUUUUCUGAGGUUAAAAACCAGGGACCAAAAUGUAAU